rnacentral:lncRNA from 1 species
AGGAUGUGAGCCUAUCCAACUUUUUAAUAAAUUUAGAUGAUCUAAUUAUCAAAAUAAAACAAUCAUACUGUCACGCCCCGGAUUACACUUUCCCCGGACGCGCCGAUAAAUCCGCCGUAUACAAAGGAAUUUCCCCUGUAUACGAAGCGAUAGCUGUACCUGUAAAACAAACACUACUACGAACAGUAGUAGAGAGCUGUUAGAGAAAACAGAAGCUAAACAAACUGAGUUUCAUAUACAUAGUCCAAAUUCAAAAUACAAAGCUACUCGCACUAGCGAGUUAAGUCCACUAUGUACAUAAACUCGAAACAAAACCUCUACCUGCAGNUGGCAAAACUCCAGUUUUGCUUAUUUGAGUGCGCCGAGUCCAAUUCUGCAUCCAAUUCGUGCAGAAUUGACUCCGACUCAGUCCGACACUCUCCAGAGAUGUCGACCAGUCUAUAAUACUGAAGCCAAUCCUAUCCAAAGCUCAGGAACACUACACAUACAUCUAUUUGAAGAAGAGCAAUGCUACAUGUACGCCCCUAGAUUUAAAUCCUAUACUCUGGUCAUCCAAAGACCACUAUUUUUUCACUAGUUUUAUCAUCUUUUUUAGUACAAAAACUCCAAAAAAAUUAUUUAAACCUCAGAAUGAAUGAGGUGUAAAAUUUAUGCUUAGAAAGAUAAU